UUUCCUGUGGCUUAGUUAGUAGAGCAUUGCGCCAACAACGCAAAUGUCAUGUCUUCUAACCCCAGGCAAA